rnacentral:rRNA from 1 species
UACGUAGGGGGCAAGCGUUGUCCGGAUUUAUUGGGCGUAAAGAGCGUGUAGGCGGCCAGACAGGUCCACUGUGAAAACUCGAGGCUCAACCUCGAGAGGUCGGUGGAAACCGUCUGGCUAGAGUCCGGAAGAGGAGAGUGGAAUUCCUGGUGUAGCGGUGAAAUGCGCAGAUAUCAGGAAGAACACCUAUGGCGAAGGCAGCUCUCUGGGACGGUACUGACGCUGAGACGCGAAAGCGUGGGGAGCGAACAGG